UUCAUGAGGAUCUGGAGGUCCUCUUACCAUAGAGAUGCAUAGGGAUUAACCAGCCCACAGUGACAGGAAGUAGAAACUAUAGAGACAGGAAGGAGGAACCAUAGAGACAGGAAGUGAGAUUAGAAGGAUAUAAAAAGGACUCAAUGUCAGUUGGUCAGCUUGUCAGUUGCUGACAGAUAGCCUUACAGUAAAGAUAGUAAGUCACUGCCCACCAUGAAGUCCAGUGGCGGUGUGUGCCUGCUCUCCUGAUGCCUGCCACUGCCUGCUGUUUCUCCUGUCCAUCUGCUUGGCCAGUAUUCCUCACCACUCUCCACCCAGUUUGGAGCCUCCUCUUGCAGAGACCAGACUUACCACAAGAGCCUGCCAAUCCCAGCCAUUUUUUUCCACAGAGGAAGGUAUUAAUGAGCAUGUCCUGUUCUGGAGGAGAAGAAAUAUCAAAGGUUCUAGAGAAAGAUUCACCUCCCAGGAAGGUCAUCAAGCUGAUCAGGAUGAUCUUUGGCCUAGGAAGAACACAACAAAAAUGGUGAGCAGAAAUUGGAAACACAAGAUAAGUGAGGAGAUCAUAACAUAUGACUGCCUUUAAUGAUUGCAAGUUACCAGGCUUGGGCAUCUUGGACAUAUGGUGCUGAAAGACUGAGGUCCUAGGUGCUCCUACUGCUGAACUUCUCCAAGUUCUCUUGGAAAGAUUUUUUUAAAAAAUGAAAGAUAUCUUCAGACUAAAGAAAUCCCUCAAAGUUAUUUUGUGUUCACUGUACAUACAUUUUUUAAUUGAAAUUUUAUUUAAUUAAUUGAUUUAGAAUAUUUUUCCAUGGUUACAUGAUUGAUGUUCUUUCCCUCCCUUCUGCCCACCCCCCUCCAGUAGCCAACGAGCAAUUCCACUGGGUUUUACAUUUACAUACAUUUUUAAUCUCUUCUAUAUGUAUUUAUAUUCCCCUUAGAAACAAUACUUUGUAAGGUCUUUGAAGAUAUUUAAUUUCAUUUUUGCCUUUUUAGGCAUAGUGCCUGGCACAUAAUAAAUGCUUUUUAAUUAAUUUUAAAAAGGAGAAG
rnacentral:lncRNA from 1 species